rnacentral:lncRNA from 1 species
GAAGAUAUUAAUAUGAAGUAAAAACAAAAGUAGAUUUUUAAGCAUUAUACAAAGGAACUUAAAAUUCAAUUCUGUUCAGAGGCCAUUUACUGAGCAUCUGCCAGACAUUGUAAAGACCAGCUGAUCAUUGGUAGGAACAGAAUCUCUGUUCUAAUGAGAUCUUGUGCUCCUUCUAACUGCCCUCCUCACUCAAACUCUCUGAGGUCUUAUCUGGGCCCUUGCUUUUUUGCCUGGGAAGAGUCUACUUUGAUCCUCCUCCUGACUUCAUUCUUUCCAAACCUAAUUUAUGCUCCCUCUUGGAUCUUUUUUCUCACCAAGACAAAAGUGUCUACUCCCAUGGCUCCAGAAACUUUCUAUAAAGCUGGACUCAUGCACAUUUAUGAAUCACCCAACAGAAGAGCUGACGGAGUGAAUCACACAAGGUUUUCAGAUUGCCAGAAUAGGAGGAACAAUACGUGUCAUAUUUUUUAAUGAACAUUUAAAGAUACAGAGAGCCUCAGGGGACACACUUUGUACCAACGUUCAGAGAAUGAUGCUUGGAACUAUGGUGCCCAUCUAUAAAGCCACCUAUGGGCAUGCCAGUGGAGGACACCACCCUCAGACUGUAAGCACUGAUGCAAUCACCCACUUACUCAGCAGAGAAAAGGACAAAGGACAAAUCAAGAAGGCAUGAGACACCAUAAUCAAUUCCUCCUGGUCUGCUACUGAUCACAGGCCCUGGUCUAAGGCAGCAUGGUGGAGGUAAAAGCAUAGUCUGUGGAAAAACAGACAAAUCUGGAUUUAAUCACCACCUGUGUGACCUUCAGCAAGUUACCUCCUCUGUGCCUCAGUUUCCUCACUUGUGAAAUGAAUACCUCUUCUUCAAGUUGGGAUGAAGUUUAAAUGACAAGGGAAAUAUGAAAUCCACAUGAUACUGGCCAUGAAGGGAUCAAGCAAGAUGCCUUGUCUGACUAUUUCCUGAGGGUGCUAUAAUGAAGUUUCCAUAAUGUUCAUCUUUCUGCCCAACUGGAGAGCUAUUCUCAACUCAGACUCUCAGCUGGAAAGGAAUCUACUCAUGUCCUCAUGUUGAGAUCUUUAAAGUGCUUCUCCCAUAUCCACAGUAUGCAGAAAACAUGGAAUCUCAUUAGUGUAUUAUGAUCAAAACAAAGAAAGGACAGGCACAGAGUACCCAGGUAAGAGGGACAAAAAGAAGUGGCAUCUCACGGCUUCAUCCAACAUUUGCAGAGUACACAGGAGAGAAGCAAAGUUUCCCAGAGAAAUCAUUUAAUAACAUUUGGGCCUCAAGGACUAUAUUCUUUCUUUCUGUAAGAGUAAUAAGAAUUAAGGACAAGAGAGCUCACGUAAGAAAAGCAGUUUGCAAUAGAAACUAGCCUAUGGGGGAUAAGAACAUCACUGAACAGGAUCCAAAAUUGAUCAAACCUGUUAUUAAAGCCACACCAAUUAAGGGCCAUCCCCAAUUUAUUUGUGUGUAUUUUUCGUGAGAAGAAAUGAGGAAUUAAUAUCAGACCCCACUGCAGCCUUUGUAAUCUGUUUUAAGUAAUAUUGCACUUAAAAUUUAUUGAGUUUUUCCUAAUAAAGCAUGGACCCAGAAAUUCUCAUCAAACA